AAUUGCACUCAAAGGAAGGACACGCCACCACAUGGGUUGCCACAUCCACACUCCCAGAGAAAGCUUCACAUGUGAGAUAAAUGCACUCAAAGAUUCCUCACAAGUAGCUCUUUGGAGCUUCAGAUGUGAAAUGGAUCAUUCCUCAAUCUGUAAUAGACCCUUCUGUGAAGCUCUUCAAUCAAACCAGAAAAUUCAAGAGGUUUCAGGUACGUAAAAGUGGUAUUUGGCUAGUGGUGGGCCAAAGAAAGGAAUAAAGAAGACAUUCAGAUUUCUUGGUAGAAGACAUUCAAAAGUUGAUUUGAUAGCAGAUACAAGGAGAAAAUAUGCCAAUAAGAAAAUGCAUUUUUCAAGAUGAAAUUCAGCAUUUGUUACUUAAUAGCAUUUAUCAUCUUCCAAUUUUUUUCAUAUGCAGCAAAUUAAUUUCAGAUCA